UUAGAGCUAGCGCUUUUCUUUGACGAGGGUU
rnacentral:piRNA from 1 species